GGUGGCUUGGGGCCGGUCAGCCUGCUGAAUUAGCCCUUCCCUGCUAUGUCUGUGUAGGGUUUGGGACUUAAAAGGAGGAAAAGGCAUCAGAAAUGGAAGUCCCUGGGCAAAGCUACCGGUGGAGGGGGAGAGAAGGCAGCUAGCAUUGAUUGACUGAAUUAUUGGAUGUGAGGAAAAGAAGUGCUCAGAAGAUAAAGAAAUUUUCCCUGGCAGCCCGAAGGAGCAAUUGUCCAGUUCAGCCCCUGCAGUCCUAGGAUGGAGUAUACUCAUCCAGAUUUUUUCCUUCACAAAGAAUUUUAUCAUGUUUGUUCCAAGUCAGAAUGAAGCCAUAUUUCAAAAUUCUUUGCCACAUGGAACUUCAACCACAUAGCUCUGUUUAGCCACUGAAUGAAGGCAGCUGUGGGGGCACCAGCCAUGUUGAGCUAGGGAGUCUGAACAUGUUCAGAGCCAUAGUUGUGUCUGACUGGAGAGCUGCAGUAUUCUCAAUGUCACUGUGGCUCUCCAGCCUAUGCAAGGCUUUGAGAUCAUACUCCACCUUUCCAAUGAUGGGACAGCCCCUUCUCAGAAUGGGAAGAAUGGAGGGAUUUUUCCACUGCAG